UCCGUAGGCGGGUAAUUAAGUCAGAAUUGAAAUCCCACAGCUUAACUGUGGAACUGCCUUAGAUACUGGUUAUCUUGAGUUUUAGUGAAGUAGAUAGAAUGUGUAGUGUAGCGGUGAAAUGCAUAGAUAUUACACAGAAUACCGAUUGCGAAGGCAGUCUACUAACUAACAACUGACGCUAAUGGACGAAAGCGUGGGGAGCGAACAGGAUUAGAUACCCUGGUAGUCC
rnacentral:rRNA from 1 species